AGAAAAGCACCGUCAUGAUGCCUGACUUUAGACUCAUGGCCGCAAAGCACAAAUGGGUUCCUGGCUGGCUGGCUGGCUGGUGGGACAGUGCAAUCACUCUUCUGCUCCGUGACAAUCGCCUGCCUUCCCUUCUCCCCAGUUUCAUUCUGGGCUAAGGAUCUCCUUCCCAUCCAACAGGAAAAUUGAGGUCAAAUGUGUGAGGCUGGCCUCCUGGAGGCUGUGACUGAGAGAAGGAGGCAGCCGUGCCCAGAUCUGGGGGAAGAAUGCUUUCAUCAAAGAGGAGAGAGAGAGCAAAGUCUCCGAGGAGGAAGAGAACCACCAGAGACGAGGGGACCCUGGUGCAAAGUUGGAGAAACAGGGAGGGCCGUAUUACUCCAGGGCCUUGAGGGCUUGGUCGGACCUGGAGCCAGUUUGAGCGCUCACAGUUUUCUCUUUGGGCAAUCUGGAAUAGAGAAUAGCAGAAUGGAUUUCAGUUUGGAACAGUCUCUUGAAAGGGAAGGGCGUUAACUGUGGAAUUGGAGUAGGGGCAGGAGGCAAGACCUCCCCGGCCCAGGAAUGAGAAGCAGAGAAAGUAGGUCUGCAGAGAAGGAGAAACAGCCGUGCAGAAAGGAGCCGAGACCAGGGAAGCAAAGAGAGAAAAUCCUGAUUGCUUUUAGCUUCUUUGUUCCAGCACCUUCCAUGAGUCCCUGCUCUAAUCCUUCCUUUAAACUGCAUGAAUGAACUGCAUUCAUUUAGUCAAUUCGCCUUUCUUGCUCAAGCUAACUUGAAUUGGAUUUUAUGACUUACAACAAAAAAGCUGUUAAUCGAUGCACAUAUAAUUUCUGUGAGUUUGACGUUCUACGAAGCAAGUUAACGAAAAUCGAGUCAUGUAUAUGAGUCAGUCCCAGCUAAGAAUCAUUUUGCCAGAUUUGGUUUCUUUGGUUUCUUCUGUGGGAGUAGCUAAAACACUGAAAGAGUAAAAAAAAAAAAAAAAAAAAAAAAAAGGGACAAAAAAGGGAAGGAAAA